UGUACUCGUUUAGGUCAAUCGGUGCUAA
rnacentral:sRNA from 1 species